ACUAUUAUUGAAUGUUUUCAAGAUAGUUCAAGGUUUAAGAGCAACAAACGCAUGGAGUGCAAGUUUUCGUCACACCAUGAAACGGUCCACUGAAUAAAGGAAGACGUCAACUCGAUCAUCAUCUCGUCUUCAACUUUACCGUUAUUGUGUCCGGUUUGAUUCUCAAUUGACAGAAAAUCCGUUUAUCAAAAUUAUGAGGUGAAAAAGUCUACGGUGAUUAAACGCCAAAGAACUCUGAUCGAAAAAAAGAGGCUAUGUAUUACAUAAUAUAGAGUUUUCCCAUCGUACCACACUGACUUUAGCGUUUGGUUCCUGCAGAAGUCAUAGUAGACGAAAAUAUAGAAUUAAAAUGCUUCCCAAAGUCGUAGAUAUUGUUGUUUGUUAUUAUUGUUAUUUUUAUUUUUAUCAUCUGCUGUGUAUUUGAAUAUACUCUGUAGUUACCUAUUUUCAUUUCAGGCAGCUGUCCACCCACAAAUAUUUUGUCUCUCUUCUUUAUUAUUUAUUUACCUAAUAAAACAAACACGGGAGGAAACAAACAAUAGGUGUUUGGACAACAUGCAGUUACUUUCUGUCUUGACCUCAGGACUGUUUGUUCAAAUGUCACUGAUCAAUUAAAAAGAAUCAUUCAAUGUUG